rnacentral:rRNA from 1 species
GAUGAACGCUAGCGACAGGCCUAACACAUGCAAGUCGAACGGUAAAAUGGUAGCAAUACUAUUGAGAGUGGCGCACGGGUGAGUAACGCGUAUGCAACCUGCCUGUAACUGGGGGAUAGCUCCCUGAAAGGGGAUUAACACCGCAUAAGACCACGGCAUCGCAUGGUGCAGUGGUAAAAUAUUCAUAGGUUACAGAUGGGCAUGCGUGACAUUAGCUAGUUGGUGAGGUAACGGCUCACCAAGGCGACGAUGUCUAGGGGUUCUGAGAGGAUGAUCAGCCACACUGGGACUGAGACACGGCCCAGACUCCUACGGGAGGCAGCAGUGGGGAAUAUUGGACAAUGGGCGAAAGCCUGAUCCAGCCAUGCCGCGUGAGUGAUGAAGGCCCUAGGGUUGUAAAGCUCUUUCAGUGGGGAAGAUAAUGACGGUACCCACAGAAGAAGCCCCGGCUAACUUCGUGCCAGCAG